UACGUAGGGUGCAAGCGUUGUCCGGAAUUAUUGGGCGUAAAGAGCUCGUAGGCGGUCUGUCGCGUCUGCUGUGAAAACUCAGGGCUUAACCCUGAGCUUGCAGUGGGUACGGGCAGACUAGAGUGCGGUAGGGGAGACUGGAAUUCCUGGUGUAGCGGUGAAAUGCGCAGAUAUCAGGAGGAACACCGGUGGCGAAGGCGGGUCUCUGGGCCGUAACUGACGCUGGAGGAGCGAA
rnacentral:rRNA from 1 species